GGGUUGUGAGGUUAAGCGACUAAGCGUACACGGUGGAUGCCCUGGCAGUCAGAGGCGAUGAAGGGCGUGCUAAUCUGCGAUAAGCGCCGGUAAGGUGAUAUGAACCGUUAUAACCGGCGAUACCCGAAUGGGGAAACCCAGUGUGAUUCGUCACACUAUCAUUAACUGAAUCCAUAGGUUAAUGAGGCGAACCGGGGGAACUGAAACAUCUAAGUACCCCGAGGAAAAGAAAUCAACCGAGAUUCCCCCAGUAGCGGCGAGCGAACGGGGAGGAGCCCAGAGCCUGAAUCAGCAUGUGUGUUAGUGGAAGCGUCUGGAAAGGCGCGCGAUACAGGGUGACAGCCCCGUACACAAAAGCGCAUGUGCUGUGAGCUCGAUGAGUAGGGCGGGACACGUGGUAUCCUGUCUGAAUAUGGGGGGACCAUCCUCCAAGGCUAAAUACUCCUGACUGACCGAUAGUGAACCAGUACCGUGAGGGAAAGGCGAAAAGAACCCCGGCGAGGGGAGUGAAAAGAACCUGAAACCGUGUACGUACAAGCAGUGGGAGCACCCUUCGGGGUGUGACUGCGUACCUUUUGUAUAAUGGGUCAGCGACUUAUAUUCUGUAGCAAGGUUAACCGUAUAGGGGAGCCGCAGGGAAACCGAGUCUUAACCGGGCGUUAAGUUGCAGGGUAUAGACCCGAAACCCGGUGAUCUAGCCAUGGGCAGGUUGAAGGUUGGGUAACACUAACUGGAGGACCGAACCGACUAAUGUUGAAAAAUUAGCGGAUGACCUGUGGCUGGGGGUGAAAGGCCAAUCAAACCGGGAGAUAGCUGGUUCUCCCCGAAAGCUAUUUAGGUAGCGCCUCGUGAAUUCAUCUCCGGGGUAGAGCACUGUUUCGGCUAGGGGGCCAUCCCGGCUUACCAACCCGAUGCAAACUGCGAAUACCGGAGAAUGUUAUCACGGGAGACACACGGCGGGUGCUAACGUCCGUCGUGAAGAGGGAAACAACCCAGACCGCCAGCUAAGGUCCCAAAGUCAUGGUUAAGUGGGAAACGAUGUGGGAAGGCCCAGACAGCCGGAUGUUGGCUUAGAAGCAGCCAUCAUUUAAAGAAAGCGUAAUAGCUCACUGGUCGAGUCGGCCUGCGCGGAAGAUGUAACGGGGCUAAACCAUGCACCGAAGCUGCGGCAGCGACGCUUAUGCGUUGUUGGGUAGGGGAGCGUUCUGUAAGCCUGCGAAGGUGGCCUGUGAGGGUUGCUGGAGGUAUCAGAAGUGCGAAUGCUGACAUAAGUAACGAUAAAGCGGGUGAAAAGCCCGCUCGCCGGAAGACCAAGGGUUCCUGUCCAACGUUAAUCGGGGCAGGGUGAGUCGACCCCUAAGGCGAGGCCGAAAGGCGUAGUCGAUGGGAAACGGGUUAAUAUUCCCGUACUUGGUGUUACUGCGAAGGGGGACGGAGAAGGCUAUGUUGGCCGGGCGACGGUUGUCCCGGUUUAAGCGUGUAGGUGUGUGUUCGGUAAAUCCGGUUCACUUUAACACUGAGGCGUGACGACGAGGCACUACGGUGCUGAAGCAACAAAUGCCCUGCUUCGGAAAAGCCUCUAAGCAUCAGGUAACAUCAAAUCGUACCCCAAACCGACACAGGUGGUCAGGUAGAGAAUACCAAGGCGCUUGAGAGAACUCGGGUGAAGGAACUAGGCAAAAUGGUGCCGUAACUUCGGGAGAAGGCACGCUGACACGUAGGUGAAGUGAUUUACUCAUGGAGCUGAAGUCAGUCGAAGAUACCAGCUGGCUGCAACUGUUUAUUAAAAACACAGCACUGUGCAAACACGAAAGUGGACGUAUACGGUGUGACGCCUGCCCGGUGCCGGAAGGUUAAUUGAUGGGGUCAGCGCAAGCGAAGCUCCUGAUCGAAGCCCCGGUAAACGGCGGCCGUAACUAUAACGGUCCUAAGGUAGCGAAAUUCCUUGUCGGGUAAGUUCCGACCUGCACGAAUGGCGUAAUGAUGGCGGGCUGUCUCCACCCGAGACUCAGUGAAAUUGAACUCGCUGUGAAGAUGCAGUGUACCCGCGGCAAGACGGAAAGACCCCGUGAACCUUUACUAUAGCUUGACACUGAACAUUGAGCCUUGAUGUGUAGGAUAGGUGGGAGGCUUUGAAGUGUGGACGCCAGUCUGCAUGGAGCCGACCUUGAAAUACCACCCUUUAAUGUUUGAUGUUCUAACGUGGACCCGUAAUCCGGGUUGCGGACAGUGUCUGGUGGGUAGUUUGACUGGGGCGGUCUCCUCCUAAAGAGUAACGGAGGAGCACGAAGGUUGGCUAAUCCCGGUCGGACAUCAGGAGGUUAGUGCAAUGGCAUAAGCCAGCUUGACUGCGAGCGUGACGGCGCGAGCAGGUGCGAAAGCAGGUCAUAGUGAUCCGGUGGUUCUGAAUGGAAGGGCCAUCGCUCAACGGAUAAAAGGUACUCCGGGGAUAACAGGCUGAUACCGCCCAAGAGUUCAUAUCGACGGCGGUGUUUGGCACCUCGAUGUCGGCUCAUCACAUCCCGGGGCUGAAGUAGGUCCCAAGGGUAUGGCUGUUCGCCAUUUAAAGUGGUACGCGAGCUGGGUUUAGAACGUCGUGAGACAGUUCGGUCCCUAUCUGCCGUGGGCGCUGGAGAACUGAGGGGGCUGCUCCUAGUACGAGAGGACCGGAGUGGACGCAUCACUGGUGUUCGGGUUGUCAUGCCAAUGGCACUGCCCGGUAGCUAAAUGCGGAAGAGAUAAGUGCUGAAAGCAUCUAAGCACGAAACUUGCCCCGAGAUGAGUUCUCCCUGAGACUUAGAGUCUCCUGAAGGAACGUUGAAGACGACGACGUUGAUAGGCCGGGUGUGUAAGCGCAGCGAUGCGUUGAGCUAACCGGUACUAAUGAACCGUGAGGCUUAACCUUACAACGCCGAAG
rnacentral:rRNA from 1 species